CAAGACGUGAUUUUGUAGAAACUUCAA
rnacentral:piRNA from 1 species